AUUGAACGCUGGCGGCAGGCCUAACACAUGCAAGUCGAACGAGUGGCGGACGGGUGAGUAAUGUCUGGGAAACUGCCUGAUGGAGGGGGAUAACUACUGGCAACGGUAGCUAAUACCGCAUACCAUCAGAUGUGCCCAUAUGGGAUUAGCUAGUUGGUGGGGUAACGGCUCACCAAGGCGACGAUCCCUAGCUGGUCUGAGAGGAUGACAAGCCACACGGGAACUGAGAAACGGUCCAGACGCCUACGGGAGGCAGCAGUGGGGAAUAUUGCACAAUGGGCGAAAGCCUGAGGCAGCCAGGCCGCGUGUAUGAAGAAGGCCUUCGGGUUGUAAAGUACUUUCAGCGGGGAGGCGGUACCCGAAGAAGAAGCACCGGCUAACUCCGUGCCAGCAGCCGCGGUAAUUC
rnacentral:rRNA from 1 species